GGACUGCAAAGCUUUUCAUCGGCCAUUCUGUCGAUGGUGUGCACCGGAUGAAGCCAAGGGAUAGGCUCCAGCUUCCCUUUGACCCUGCUCAGCAGACUUUAGAAAAUGGACGGAUGAACGAAUGGAAGCCUCCAAACUUUGAGUUUGUACCACUAAUGAAGCUCCUGAC